UCCCAGGUGGCUUAGUCAGUAAAGCAUCUGCCUGCAAUGCAGGAGACCUAGGUUCAAUUCCGGGGUCAGGAA
rnacentral:tRNA from 1 species